CAGGGUUGGCAGGGGUGGCCCAGACUAUAUCAGAUGCUGGCUGAACAUAUGUGUGUGCCAGCGCCUUACUUACCAUACCCGCUCAGCAAGGCAGAGACAGCAAGCCCCAUUUUACUGAUGGGGAAACCGAGGCAUGGAGAGGCUAAGAAAUCCCUAGCUGGGGGACGAGCGCUUUCUUCGGCCAGCUUGGCUGGCAGGGGAAGCUGACUGCUAGAGUUCGCGCUGCCAUUCACCAAGGCCUCUCAUGAAAAUGCAUGCUGGGCUUCAGCACCCUCGGAAACAGGAGCUCUUGAAGCAUCUUCCCCAAAGGACACCCUGUCAGGCUAUUUUCCUGUUUAAAGAAAUUCCCCAAGCCAGGAUUGGAGAAGCUGUGGACUGACCCGAGGUUGCCCUAUUAAAUGUAUUUAUUUCUUGGAGCUGAAGAAUAUUUGCUGAAAGCUGGAUUAUCACUUGGUAGACCACCAGCAGCUGUUGAAAACCAGGGCAUAAAAGCUUGUUUAUGUCUUUAAUGGCCCACUUAAUGAUGGAGCAAGUAUGUUAUUCAUAAUAAAAUGCCGAGGAAUAAUCUUAAUACCCCAAUGCAUGGCGCUAGUGAAUUAAGAAACAUCUGCUAUGUCAUAAAAGAACAUUUUAUUUGGGGUCUACAUUAAAAACAUGAUUCCACGGAGUUCUACUGAUUUAUAUUGUACAAAACAAAUUAUGAUGUCUUGAAGUAAUUAUACUUUACAAUUAAACCUACAAGGCCACUCUUGGAAAAAAUCUGCCUGUUCUUCCUCAUUCUAGAUCAUUUAAAGUGUAUACCGUGGUCUUGUGUCAAUAUAUUUCACCAAAGCAAUGCUUAAAAUUCCUCUUGGCAUUCAGGCCUUUCUAGGAAGAUAUCCAAGCUGAACAAUACUUCUGAAAUCACCACUGCAGAAUGUAAUGGAUAUUUGGAUUCACAGGGAAAAUUGUAAA